CCUGACUGCUAUCGGAUUGAUACUAAGCCAUGUGAGUCAUUGCGGCAAUGCAAGGCAGACGGCUCAGUAACACGUAGUCAACCUACCCUAUAGACGGGAUAACCUCGGGAAACUGAGGAUAAACCCCGAUAGAUCAUUAUGCCUGGAACGGUUUAUGGUCCAAAUGAUUCGUCGCUAUAGGAUGGGACUGCGGCCUAUCAGCUUGUUGGUGAGGUAAUGGCCCACCAAGGCUAUUACAGGUACGGGCUCUGAGAGGAGAAGCCCGGAGAUGGGUACUGAGACACGGACCCAGGUCCUAUGGGGCGCAGCAGGCGAGAAAACUUUGCAAUGUGCGCAAGCACGACAAGGUUAAUCCGAGUGAUUCCUGCUAAAGGAAUCUUUUGUUAGUUGUAAAACCACUGAUGAAUAAGGGGUGGGCAAGUUCUGGUGUCAGCCGCCGCGGUAAAACCAGCACCUCAAGUGGUCAGGAGGAUUAUUGGGCCUAAAGCAUCCGUAGCCUGCUUUGUAAGUUUUCGGUUAAAUCCAUCAGCUCAACUGAUGGGCCGCCGAAAAAACUGCAAAGCUAGGGAGUGGGAGAGGUAGACGGUACUCGAUAGGAAGGGGUAAAAUCCUUUGAUCUAUUGAUGACCCCCUGUGGCGAAGGCGGUCUACCAGAACACGUUCGACGGUGAGGGAUGAAAGCUGGGGGAGCAAACCGGAUUAGAUACCCGGGUAGUCCCAGCUGUAAACGAUGCAGACUCGGUGAUGCCCUGGCUUGUGGCCAGUGCAGUGCCGCAGGGAAGCCGUUAAGUUUGCCGCCUGGGAAGUACGUACGCAAGUAUGAAACUUAAAGGAAUUGGCGGGGGAGCACCACAAGGGGUGAAGCCUGCGGUUC
rnacentral:rRNA from 1 species